CAUCUCACUGCUUCCUGCAGUAAAGUCAGACUUCCUGCGACAAGUUAACUAUGGUGUAAAACAUCCGCAUCUGUAGCGACCAGGGGAUCCCUUUCUCUCCUCUCUGGAAAUCUCCACGGACCUUAACGACGCAGCCGCAGCCUGGAGGCGCCGUGAAGCUCAUUAUUAAAGCACAAGUCGCUGACCGCGCAGGACGCUGCGUUUGACUGACACACACGUGUAUGUCAUUAGAUGACACAGGGAGGCUGUGGGGCUCCAUUUGUGUCCUGCAGGGGAAAUGAUGAUGAUGAUGAUGAUGAUGAUGAUGAUGGUGUUAGAGGAGGGGGGAUUGUAACGCCUCUCUGCCCUCCGUCCACAGGAAGACUGGAUGAAAUUGAUUCGGGCUUUGCGCAGUUUGUUCGCCCUCAUCGCGGUAGAAAGGAAAACGGGCUGGUUCUGUCUCUGAAAUGUCUCACCGCUGGAAAUGCAGCUCCACGUUUGUCUGUUGCUCUUUUUCUUUACAACAGAUAAAGCUGUGACAUCAUUGCACCAACACUGUGGUGGAAAUGUCACAUUGGACCAAGAACCUGAAGGCCACAUCACUCUCCUGUUACCUGGGUUCUUUAACCACACCGGCACCCUCAGCCCCAUGAGCCAGCAGUCAGAGGAAAGCUUACCACUUUCAAAUUGCACUUGGCUGUUGGGCAUUCCUCUGAGGAAGAAGCUACUUUUACUGUUAAAAUGGACAGAAAGCAAUUGGAGGAUCUCGCUGAGAUGUGCUGAAGAAGAUCAGAUCCUACAGAGUCGUGGGGAAACAGCAUUGCUCUCUGACUGUGAUGAAAACAAAGCUGUCCUCAGUUGGACAGGGCCAAGAAUUUCCUCAAAUUCAAUUCAUCUGACUUAUUGUGUUCAGGAAACCGAGAGAAAUUCCUCAGACGGUCAUUCAAUCCACCAACAGCAGCAGGACCCUACUGGUUGGUCGGUGACGGGAGCCACCAAUAAAAGCAUUGCCACAGCUGCUCAAAGGGUGGUGAAGGGUACAGCAGAGGGCAGAGGUCGUGUCCAUAAAGGGCAAAUUUGUAGUUUUGGCUCUGCAUCCAGCACCUUCUCUCAGGACAAGGAGCUGCUCCAGCCAACCUCAUCCCAGUGGGGACUCCCAGUCACUGGGAGAACUGAUAGGGAAACUCUCCCUCUUCCUGAGGAAAAAUGGAACAAUGAAGCGGAUACAUCUGGAGCGGCUCACCUCGCUGACGCUCCCACGACUGCCAUAACACGCCCAUAUUUUCAGCCUGUAGUCAGUACAGACACCAAAACAGAAAGUCCUACUGGCCUAACCCAAGUGAAAACUGAGACAUCCUGGACAGACACCAAAGUCACUCUUUCCAUUACCACAGAUUUACAAAGAUCUACAUCUGGACAGAUGUUGAAGAUGGAGGAGUUUGUUACUCAAAUGGAUGGACGUACAGACAUGCAGAAGAACCAAAGCAUUUCCAGUUACAGUGUUUUUAAUUCUUCUUUACCUGGGAUAUUGACGUCUGACAGCAGUACCUCAAUAAAUCCACAUGGUGGUGCUGUUGAUCAAACUUCUGAGAAUAAACAAUCUCACUCGGACGGAUUUUACGCGGCUUUCACCUCCAUCACAUCCUCGAAACCUGUAAAAUCCUCCAUCAAACAGCAUGACUCAACCAGCACAGAGCCCUCUCUGUCAUCAUCAUCUUUCUCACAGGGCUCCAGUUGGGCUCCUUCACCCACCACCCACAUGGCAGAGAUUCCCACUGGUGUGGGCACUGUGGAGGCUGCUUUACCUCAUCCACACACAGCUCAGAGUGACUCAUCUGAGUCUGAUAUUAGUUCUCAGAGAGCUGCUGUGAAGUCGACUGAUGGGCUGGACAAUACGGAUGGGUUUCAUACAGUGACUCCUUCCACACAGAGUCAGACAAACUCUCCUGAAAACAUGGAGAGGCUCUCUCAUUCCCUGCAUCCCUCCCCCAUCCCGACACAAACACCUGGAAUAGACACACAAACGUCGACAGAAGGAAUGCAAAGAAGUGGGACUAAUUUGUACAUCACCACAAACAUCAUGCAAACUUUGUUUAACGAGGAUGGAUCUUUUUCUACAACCAGACCAGCACAGAUAAUCAAAUUCCAGACCUCAAUGGGUACAACAACUACCAGACAAAUGCAUACACCAUUAUUUAGUGAAACUUUAAAAUCGCCCAUGGAUUCAUCUACUCCUUCAUAUGAGCUUCAAAAACAAACUGGGCUUCCUGAUGGUACGCAGGACACUUUUCCCUCUUCGAUGGCUGAAUCCUCCAUGGACACAAGCAGCACGAACCCCAAAACUACGUCUGAACCUUCACAAACCUUUCAUCUGUUCCUGCCGUCUUCUGCUACAGUCUCUCCAAACAAACACUUUACUACUGAAAAUACACCUUGGCACCCAGUGAAAUCAGAUAGUGGUGAUGUGAAGGGGACCACAUCCUGGCCGUGGUCUCCAAGUGGCACGAUGAAGCAUAAACGUCCAGGUGGAUCUACUCGGGCCUUUCAUCCCAGCCAACAGAACCAUUUUGGCGUCACAUCAUCAGCGUUUAUCCCUGCAUUUAAGGGGAAUUCAACAAAAAGUCCCAUCUACUAUAUUGUUCCAAACCAGCCUGCUACUGUUAGAGUGGAAUCAGUUGAGCUGCUCCUGCAGAUAGUUAUGGAAGAAUCUCAUUCCACUUCAACUGCUGGUCUGGAGGAAGACAUAAUGCCAUGGUUGGAGUCCUACCUGCAGAGAGCACCGGGCUUCUGUAAGCUGCUGGGGGUCUGGAGCAGUGGCCAGGCAGUGCAGAGCCUGGUUGUGUUUCAAACUAGUGAGGCUCUGCAGUGGCUCGGUGUAAACGGAGCCGCGUCACUGCUGGAACGAACAGGACUAGCUCAGGCUGUUCACCAAGGGGAGAUGUUUAGAUCAUGUAGGAUCACCAACAUCACAGUUGGAGGCCUGCAGGGCGACGUGUGUAACUGGUUACUGCAGUGUCCAUCCGGGUACAAAUGUGUCCUCCAGCCCGGCACCGCCAACUACAGCUGCUCCUCCGCCUGCCGCUAUGACUACUGCCACCACCACGGCAUCUGUACUCACCAUCCAGGGCAGCUUCCAGUCUGCCGUUGUCUUGUAGGAGACGACUUCUGGUACAUGGGUCAGAGGUGUGACAUGAGGAUGACCAGAGCUCGGCUCAUAGGUGCAUGUCUCACCAUCUUACUCAUCAUAGUGAUGCUUAUUGGCAUUUUGGCUUGUCUGGCUGUGCGGCGCUACCGAGCCAUUCUGAUCCAGGCAAAAGUGGACCAAACUCGCAGCAGUUAUCGUAGGUUCAACCAUUUCGAUGAGCUGUCGGGUCGGUUCUGGCUGCGUUCGUGGGCCGACUCCGCAGAUUCUCUGGACAACCCUGCCUUCAUGCGGUCGGAUGAAUUACUGCAUCUGCAGGCACUUGACCGGCCUUGCUGUUACCAUGACGACACACUGUCCCUUCCGUCCACCUGCCCCAGUCAUGGGAUGCGUAUCAACACAAUUUAUCCCCACAGUUGGAUGUGAGUGUGUGGGGUCAGUGACCUGUGAAAAUGCUCGGCUGUUCCAGAGCUCACCACAGAAGUGAAGCAGCUCCCAGUACGGUUGGAGGGGCAGCGGGAUGAGCAUGGGGGAUGGUGUGUUGGACUCGGGGAAGGCCAGUGACCUGUCUGUCUGUAGCUGGCCUGUGGAACCCAUUCACUGGACUCCGUUCCCACUUCUGCAGCA